rnacentral:rRNA from 1 species
UACGUAGGGGGCAAGCGUUGUCCGGAUUUAUUGGGCGUAAAGAGCGUGUAGGCGGCCAGAUAGGUCAGCUGUGAAAACUCGAGGCUCAACCUCGAGACGUCGGUUGAAACCAUCUGGCUAGAGUCCGGAAGAGGAGAGUGGAAUUCCCGGUGUAGCGGUGAAAUGCGCAGAUAUCGGGAAGAACACCCGUGGCGAAGGCGGCUCUCUGGGGCGGUACUGACGCUGAGACGCGAAAGCGUGGGGAGCGAACAGG